rnacentral:rRNA from 1 species
GACGAACGCUGGCGGCGUGCUUAACACAUGCCAGUCGAACGGAAAGGCCCUGCUUUUGUGGGGUGCUCGAGUGGCGAACGGGUGAGUAACACGUGAGUAACCUGCCCUUGACUUUGGGAUAACUUCAGGAAACUGGGGCUAAUACCGGAUAGGAGCUCCUGCUGCAUGGUGGGGGUUGGAAAGUUUCGGCGGCUGGGGAUGGACUCGCGGCUUAUCAGCUUGUUGGUGGGGUAGUGGCUUACCAAGGCUUUGACGGGUAGCCGGCCUGAGAGGGUGACCGGCCACAUUGGGACUGAGAUACGGCCCAGACUCCUACGGGAGGCAGCAGUGGGGAAUAUUGCACAAUGGGCGGAAGCCUGAUGCAGCAACGCCGCGUGCGGGAUGACGGCCUUCGGGUUGUAAACCGCUUUCGCCUGUGACGAAGCGUGAGUGACGGUAAUGGGUAAAGAAGCACCGGCUAACUACGUG